rnacentral:rRNA from 1 species
GACACUCUAUACGGAGUUACAAAGGACGACAUUAGACGAAUCAUCUGGAAAGAUGAAUCAAAGAAGGUAAUAAUCCUGUAGUCGAAAAUGUUGUCUCUCUUGAGUGGAUCCUGAGUACGACGGAGCACGUGAAAUUCCGUCGGAAUCUGGGAGGACCAUCUCCUAAGGCUAAAUACUCUCUAGUGACCGAUAGUGAACCAGUACCGUGAGGGAAAGGUGAAAAGCACCCCGGAAGGGGAGUGAAAUAGAACCUGAAACCGUGUGCUUACAAGUAGUCAGAGCCCGUUAAUGGGUGAUGGCGUGCCUUUUGUAGAAUGAACCGGCGAGUUACGAUUUGAUGCAAGGUUAAGCAGUAAAUGUGGAGCCGUAGCGAAAGCGAGUCUGAAUAGGGCGUUUAGUAUUUGGUCGUAGACCCGAAACCAGGUGAUCUACCCUUGGUCAGGUUGAAGUUCAGGUAACACUGAAUGGAGGACCGAACCGACUUACGUUGAAAAGUGAGCGGAUGAACUGAGGGUAGCGGAGAAAUUCCAAUCGAACCUGGAGAUAGCUGGUUCUCUCCGAAAUAGCUUUAGGGCUAGCCUCAAGUGAUGAUUAUUGGAGGUAGAGCACUGUUUGGACGAGGGGCCCCUCUCGGAUUACCGAAUUCAGACAAACUCCGAAUGCCAAUUAAUUUAACUUGGGAGUCAGAACAUGGGUGAUAAGGUCCGUGUUCGAAAGGGAAACAGCCCAGACCACCAGCUAAGGUCCCAAAAUAUAUGUUAAGUGGAAAAGGAUGUGGCGUUGCCCAGACAACUAGGAUGUUGGCUUAGAAGCAGCCAUCAUUUAAAGAGUGCGUAAUAGCUCACUAGUCGAGUGACACUGCGCCGAAAAUGUACCGGGGCUAAACAUAUUACCGAAGCUGUGGAUUGUCCUUUGGACAAUGGUAGGAGAGCGUUCUAAGGGCGUUGAAGCAUGAUCGUAAGGACAUGUGGAGCGCUUAGAAGUGAGAAUGCCGGUGUGAGUAGCGAAAGACGGGUGAGAAUCCCGUCCACCGAUUGACUAAGGUUUCCAGAGGAAGGCUCGUCCGCUCUGGGUUAGUCGGGUCCUAAGCUGAGGCCGACAGGCGUAGGCGAUGGAUAACAGGUUGAUAUUCCUGUACCACCUAUAAUCGUUUUAAUCGAUGGGGGGACGCAGUAGGAUAGGCGAAGCGUGCGAUUGGAUUGCACGUCUAAGCAGUAAGGCUGAGUAUUAGGCAAAUCCGGUACUCGUUAAGGCUGAGCUGUGAUGGGGAGAAGACAUUGAGUCUUCGAGUCGUUGA